ACAAAACAACCAUUUGUGUGUCUUUGUACAUGUUAUAAUAUAUUGUUUGUGUUAAUGUACACUGCACUCUCAUCAUCUUAUCAGUCUCGAUUUCACAAAAAGUAUU